UGGCAUCCAGGGAAACAAUUCAGACUGGAAAGGGCCGGAUCCCAAUAUCCCCUUCAUGAGUGUGUCCCAAUGACCUUCCUAAACAAAUCACCUCUCCUCAAUUUCCUGCAUCCGAGCCCCUGAGAGUACAGGGCAAAUCUCCAACCUCUGACUAUCUUUCAGAGUCCUGAUUUCUCUGCCAGAUGUCCCACAUCCUGAUCACCUUUGUGGCCGCCACCUUUGAAUUGACAGGUCCUGGAGACAUUGAAAGGAUGGAUACAACCAGUGAGAGGCAGAAUACGGAGAGUGUACUGAAGAAUUGAGAGCCAAGACGAAUUGAACUGCCUUUCUAGUCACGUGUUGUCUCUAAGUUUUGUGAUACAGUAAACUUACAGUAGCUUUAACAAUCUCUUGUCAUUUUAAUGACUAUAUAAGACAGAAUGAACGUGCUAGCCAAGUGUCUGCUAAAAAAUA
rnacentral:sRNA from 1 species